CUACGGGAGGCACCAGUGGGAAAUAUUGCACAAUGGGCGCAAGCCUGAUGCAGCCAUGCCGCGUGUAUGAAGAAGGCCUUCGGGUUGUAAAGUACUUUCAGCGGGGAGGAAGGGAGUAAAGUUAAUACCUUUGCUCAUUGACGUUACCCGCAGAAGAAGCACCGGCUAACUCCGUGCCAGCAGCCGCGGUAAUACGGAGGGUGCAAGCGUUAAUCGGAAUUACUGGGCGUAAAGCGCACGCAGGCGGUUUGUUAAGUCAGAUGUGAAAUCCCCGGGCUCAACCUGGGAACUGCAUCUGAUACUGGCAAGCUUGAGUCUCGUAGAGGGGGGUAGAAUUCCAGGUGUAGCGGUGAAAUGCGUAGAGAUCGGGAGGAAUACCGGUGGCGAAGGCGGCCCCCUGGACGAAGACUGACGCUCAGGUGCGAAAGCGUGGGGAGCAAACAGGAUUAGAUACCCCUGUAGUC
rnacentral:rRNA from 1 species